rnacentral:tRNA from 1 species
GGGUAUGUAGCUCAAGUGGUAGGGUACAUGCUUAGCACGCAUUAAGUCCUGGGUUCAAUCCCCAGUACAUCCU